GCUAGUAAGGAAUGUUGUUGUUUCAGCUGGUCUUCUUAGAAUUUUUGGUAGGGAAGUUGCUGAGCUUCCUCUAGUUGCGACAAGUAGAGAACAUCAAGGAAAGGGUUACUUCCAAGCACUAUUCUCAUGCAUUGAGAGGUUACUGUGCUCUCUGAAGGUGGUAAACCUAGUGCUACCAGCAGCUGAGGAAGCUGAGUCAAUCUGGACGGGAAGAUUUGGCUUCAGAAAGAUGAACGAGGGACAAGUGUCGAAGUAUACAAGGGAGCUGCAGUUGACAAUAUUCAAGGGCACAUCAAUGCUGGAGAAGGCGGUCCCCCAGAUAAUCGAGUAGCAGCUUGGACUCUCUGGAAUUAUACUCAACUCUAUUCCUGUAAUGUGGUCUGGUAUUUUGAUUUUGUGGACAGCAGGCAGCAAAGUCAAAGUCUUAUUGAGUAUUGUUUUCUUGUACUAACUAGAAUUGAAGAGCAACAAGAAAAGAAGAUAAAUGAUUGUGAAAAGAAUCAGAGCGUGCUGACCUUUUAUAAUGCAUGCGUGUCUCAUAAAUUUCUUGCUUGCUUCUGUUCUUGUAGUCGUUUGUUUUGU
rnacentral:misc_RNA from 1 species